rfam:Picea glauca, whole genome shotgun sequence.
UCAUGUGCAUGCCUACAAUGUUAAUGCACCAGAUACCAUAAGAACUCCACAGUUAAUCACACUUGGGCUAGAGUAGUAUUGGGAUGGGUGACCUCUUGGGAAGCCCAAGUGUUUUACAUGCC